rnacentral:tRNA from 1 species
GGGCAGGUACCCAAGUGGACAACGGGGGCAGACUGUAAAUCUGCUGGCGUAUGCCUUCGGAGGUUCGAAUCCUCCCCUGCCCA